UUCUGAGGGAAGACAUAGUAAUGAAAGCUCCUUAAAUAAUACAUAAAAAGGGAUAUUUACAGCUGCCAUCGAGUAAACCAAAUGAAAAACUGUUCGUAAAAUUAUUUUCUACACGAAAAAUCGACAAAGUCUAAAUCGUUCACAUCACACGCAAGUAAAUCAGACUUAAGGAUGGAACUUAUGGAGGCGUGAUGAAGUGCCUACGCCUAAAGACUGCACUCAAGGUACUCCGUCGGCGACCACGUGCCCGCCGUAGGUGAGCGCAGCUGCGUUAAUAAAGUUAAACAUAGACCGCGACAGGCCUGACAGCACCCCCCGCCAGUGGGCCGCGAGCACCGCAGGCCUCCGCGCAGGUCUGAGGCAGUGAGCAUACUCGACCACCAUCGCAGGCUCUCGGCCGAGACACGCAACGAUUACUAUAACAACUAAUGGCAAGAAAGCAAGGGCGACCAUACCGACUCGCCAUUCGAACCACAUAGCUAGAAACAGCGCUAAGCCAAUGGAUCCAACUCCUUGUAAAAUUAUACCAAUACGUUGACCUGUGGCCUUUCAAAUUAACAAAAAUAUUUAAAAAAUCAUCUAACCUCCAACAUUUAGGUAUGAAAUGUUUAAAUGAAACUAAUAUUUUUCGGAUAUACUAAGCGAAUUUUAUUAUUUUAAAACUACAUUAUCCCGACGUUUCGGUUACUUUUCAGCAAGCGUGAUAACGGGCAGACGAGAUAUAGUUUCGCAGUAUAUCCGAAAUAUAUUAGUUUCAUUUAAAUGAAUUAAACUCGCGAAAGUCUUAGAUCUCAUUAUUCAUGAAAUAUGAUUAAUUGAAUCUGAUGUAAAUUGCAUUGUCCUAUUAAAAUACAGCCAUUUUAUACAAAUAA